GACAACAUUCCACAUGUCAAGUCAACAGCCUGAUCAACUCUAUGUGAAGGAGAUGUGUCGUGCUGCAUGAGGCAAGUGGUGGUCACACCAGAUACUGACUGGUUUUCUGAUCCACACUCCAACCUUUUUGUUGGUAAGGGCGUUUGUGACCAACAGAUGCAUAUCUGUAUUCCCAGUCAUGUGAAAUCCAUAGAUCAGGUCCUAAGUAAUUUAUUUCAAUGACCGAUUACCUCAUGAACUGUAACUCAGUCAAAUCUUUGCAUGUUUGGUUUAUUUAUUUUUCAGUGUAUAUUAAAAAAUAAAAGCCAUCUGCCUACAAGUAUCGUGACUACACAACUGACUACUAAGACUAUAUAUUAGGUCUGGGACAAUACCAGUAUCCCAAUACUUGUUUAGUAUCAUGACUACACAACUGAGACUAUAUAUUAGGUCUGGGACAAUACCAGUAUCCCGAUACUUGUUUAGUAUCGUGAC